rnacentral:rRNA from 1 species
AAUGCUCAGUAACACGUGGAUAACCUGCCCUAUGCUCUGGGAUAACCUCGGGAAACUGAGAAGAAUACCGGAUAGACCACAACGCCUGGAACGGUGUGUGGUUGAAAGGUCACGGCAUAGGAUGGGUCUGCGGCGUAUCAGGUCGUAGGGGGUGUAACGGACCUCCUAGCCAUCGACGCGUACGGGUUGUGGGAGCAAUAGCCCGGAGAUGGAUUCUGAGACACGAAUCCAGACCCUACGGGGUGCAGCAGGCGCGAAAACUUCACACUGCAGGAAACUGUGAUGAGGGAACUCCAAGUGACUGCACAUUGUGUAGCCUUUUCUUUACUAUUAAUCGGUAUUGGAAUAAGGGCUGGGAAAGACCGGUGCCAGCCGCCGCGGUAAUACCGGCAGCUCAAGUGGUCGUCGCUUUUAUUGGGCCUAAAACGUCCGUAGCCGGUCUGGUGCAUUCGUGGGUAAAUCAACCCGCUCAACGGGUUGAAUUCUGCGAGCACGGCCAGACUUGGGACCGGGAGAGGUGUGGGGUACUCUCAGGGUAGGGGUAAAAUCCUGUCAUCCUGAGAGGACCACCUGUUGCGAAGGCGCCACACUAGAACGGAUCCGACGGUCAGGGACGAAACCUAGGGGCACGAACCGGAUUAGAUACCCGGGUAGUCCUAGGUGUAAACGCUGUGGACUUGAUGUUGGGGGCGCUCCGAGCGCUUUCAGUGUCGAAGCGAAGGUGAUAAGUCCACUGCCUGGGGAGUACGGUCGCAAGGCUGAAACUUAAAGGAAUUGGCGGGGGAGCAC